rnacentral:lncRNA from 1 species
CCGUUUACUGAUAGUAGAACUUCUCAGUUGUAUUAAUUCAGACUGAUGUUUAAAUUUUCACCAUUUUGUCCUACAUAUUAGAAUACUAAGAACAUAUAUUUACAGAAGAUCCUGCCAAUACAGAGUUACAGAAUAAAUUCUUUGUCCAAUGACAACGUAAGAGUCACGACCAGUAAUCACAAACAACACUAUCUCGACCGCCGGGCAUGUGUGUGCGGCAAGGGGAUGCAGAUACUCCGAUGAUAGAUGUGUUGAGACAACAAGCUCACGCAGGAGGCCUUGAACUGCUUGCCUGUUGCCAUUGAUGGCUAUGGAUCAUGCAAAAUCCUGACCAAAAGAUCACAUUAUUUUCACGAAACUAAUCUCUUGAACUUGCUCCACGACAAUCUUUGAACAUCCUACAAGAACAGUCAUUAUUUUAAAGUUCACAUGAAUACCUACAAGCCAUGAUCACAAACAUUCCCAAAACAUUCUUUUAAAGAGUUAUGCAGCAAUAAUUAGAACCAGAAAAAUAGGGUGAAACUAUGGCAUCUACACUACACAUCAUCUAGACUGUAGCAACAACUGUUUUGCAUGAUCAUUGGCAUUUGGAGUAGCAUACAACAACUAGACGGAGAAGGGAGAAAGAGUUGGACCGGUGUGAACCCCAUACCUGGACAGGGACCGGAGGAAGUAAUGCAUGGGGCGGCGGGGGCUGUCUGUAGUCCAACCUCCCCCGUGCCGCAGUUCAGAGAGAAACAAAUUAGUAAGAGAAAAGAGUAGUAGAGAGGAAAGAGAUAUGGCAGAUGCAUGGACAGCUGCUGUUCUUUUUUGUUGAAGCACAGAUGAAGAAACUCCCAUAGGUCGCAGCUGAAGAAUAACAGUGGCUUCAUAACAAGUUUAACAACACAACAUUUUAGCAGCAAGUACGUGCAGGUAGAGGUCAUCCCAUGGAUUGGAUGGAAACUCGAUGCAUGAGCUGACCAUAAACCAAGGAAAGAGCUAAAACUUUUUAAUAAAUCAUAUCUUUAAAUAUACUUGUGCGAAUCUCCCUUUCCAGAACCAACCACCUCAGACAAAUACAUGCACAAGCUUACCUUCAUUUUAACCAUGGUAUUUUUCAGCAAAAAAAUGGUGUGCAUUAGCUCC